GUCCCUGUAGUGCAAUGUAUAGUGCGUUGGACGUCUAAUCCGAAGAUCGUAGGUUCGAUUUCUACCUGGGAUG